UAUUUUUUAGCACCGAAUUCCCGGGUAGGCGGGAAACGGGGGAUAUUUUUGGGGUGAAGAGCCAAAGGCUCCGGGCUAACUCUCGGUCCGAACCCGUCAACUAACCUCGUAGGUGUGCGAGAGUGGAGGU
rnacentral:sRNA from 19 species